GUGGACGCCGGAAUCGUGUGCUGCGUUUUUCAACACGGAUGAUAUGAAUGAUCCGGAAUUUUUGCAAGUUGAAAAUCCUGCAAUAGCGGAAACUAUGGAUAACCAUAGUCUUGAGGUGAACGUGGACGUUCACCUGUCAGGAGAGGCCGUAUAAGCAAAAUUGAAGGUAGAAGUGGGAGACAGGAGGCGUGGCUUGGUCGUCGUUCGAUGUUUUGAAAUACUGAAGUGGCAACAAUAGCAAGGAGGGUAGCAAGCACACCGCGGAGAGCUCACUUUGGCUCCGGCUCGCGUAGCGAUCACUUGUUAGGCAGAACUCUUGAAUUAUAUUUAAUUUAAUUGUUAUAUAGUUUAGUUUGUAUUAAAGUAGUUCUAAUUUUGCUAUCUUGUUAUAUUUUUCGAAUGAAUAUUAAUUUUGUUAAUAAUUAAUAAAUGAUUGUUUUUGUGGUA